CUUCCGGCCAGGUCGGCGCGCCAAAAAGGGUCUCUGGAUAUUGGAGCUUCGGUCUCUCUCAGAGUAGGGGUUGUUGUCUGCUGUUUUCCUUACCUCACUCUAGGAAAUUUAAGUACUGACUUCCCCGUUACAGAUAUUGUGUAGAAGAACCGUCUUUCUUCGGCGCAGCUGUGAUCCUUUUGGCCCGGGGACCGUUGGCCCUCGCGAGUCGACUUUCGUAAUUAUCUAGGGCCACAGAACGGAGGGAACCGCCGUGUGGAACGGCUUGAGAGCGGGGUCUGGAUGCAGAGGAAGGCCGGAAAUUGUGUGUGUGGCUCUUCUGACUGGGUCCGCCCUGUAGACGUGUUACCUGUUGAGCCUGUGAUGCAGUUCUUGGUGAAAUGUAUGCUCUGUGAGUGUAGGAAGAUGGUGGUCUGCAAUGCACAGUACGCCUUACAAAGCCCGGCCCUGACACGCUGGUUGCUCGUUACCCAGGGAGCUCUCAGGAAGGGAAAUACUCGGCCCCGCUCCCAUGGUCACGAACCUGCCAGAGAACCGCCCCGGCAGAAAUUUUUGUUUUGAAAGAGUUUCGAAGAUGAAUGGUCGGAACCGUGUUACAACUCUUCUUGUGAUUCUGACCUCAUUUUAUUUGUUUAUAAUAAACUGGUUUAUUGUGCGCUGCUUUUCUCUCACUUCCCUGGUGGCUCAGAUGGUAAAGCGUCUGCCUACAAUGCAGGAGACCUGCAAUCUCUGGGUCAGGAAGAUCUCCUGGAGAAGGAAAUGGCAACCCACUCCAGUAUUCUUGUCUGGAAAAUCCCAUGGACGGAGGAACCUGGUAGGCUACAGCCCAUGGGGUUGCAAAGAGUCGAACACGACUGAGCGACUUCACUUUGACUUCACUUUAUCUCACUAGGGGGAUGAGAGGAGUUCAGAAAUGAGAUUUGAGAAAUUUCAUGAGUCCAGUAAGUAUGUGUAGACUCACACUACCUGGUCACAGUGGGAAUGUGGUCAGCAUCAGUUGUAAAGGUCAAACGAAGGCUGUCAAGAUGGGAAUAUAUACGUCUUGAAUUGAACUUAACUAAUCAAGUCAAGAAUGCUUUCUUUUCCUCUAUACUUUGCUUUUUUUUUUAAAUUGUUUUAUAUAACUGGUUUCUCUUGAAUACAAAAUAUAGUUGAAAGACUUCGUGGAAGUGACACUAAUUCUUUGAAGAAAGGGGAAGAAACUGUACACAGAAAUGAGUUUAGACAGAUAAAUGUUUGUUUAGAUUUUAAGCCAAAGGUACAAAAGUUUUACCAGUAGUCCACAUUAUUUAUUCUUUGGAAUAACGUUCUCACUCAUAAAUGUCACAUUUCAUAAAAAAAAGUGGAAAACGAGAACCAUCACACACUGAUUAGAAGUGCUAAAAUCCGAAACACCAAGUGCUGAUGAGACUUUGGAAUACUAAGGAACUCUCAUUGAUUGAUUGAACGCAAAAAUGGUACAGCCACUAUGGGAAUCUUUUUGGUGGCUUCUUACAGAGCAAAGCAUAUUCUUACCCUGUGAUCAUUAAUUACUUCUCGAUAUUUACCCGGAAUAGUUGAAACUUUAUGUCCACAUAAAAACCUGCAUAUGAAUAUUUAUACCAACUUCGUUGUAACUGCCAAACUUACAGGCAACCAGGGUAUGCUUCAUCUCUUGAAUUCUGCUAAUACAACUGAUGUGUAUACACUGGAAGACCUUCCAGAAUUUCUGAAGUUUACAUUUAUGCUGAAUUUUGGUCUGUGUUGGUUCAACCUGGUGUAGCAAGACAUAAGGUUCUUACAGCCAUUGUCCAGAGUAUAUGUGCUGCCGAAGCGAGCACGGGAGCAAGCUCUUUCCUGGAUCUUCUGACUGAAGGGUUUCCCUGGUGGCUCAGAUGGGAAAGAAUCUGCCUGCAAUGCAGAAGACCUAGGUUUGAGCCCUGGGUUGGGAAGAUUCCUUGGAGAAGUGAAUGGCUACCCACUCUUUUAUGCUUUCCUGGAGAACUCCAUAAACUUUUGUCCAAAAAACAUUCACCACCAUCUAGCUGAUGUAGAAAUUUUUUUUUUUCAUGUUCAAGAAAUUGUUCUUCCCUGACUAUAGGACUUCAGAAUCCAGCCUCCCGCAGCCUGAGAGACAAUGCCUACUAACUGCACAGAUCUGGGGUACUGACACACUGUAUAAGGCUCCUGUGUUGUCUCACACAAUGAGAGGGCAGGAGCAAAUGUAGUGGAUACUCUUGGGGGGUUUGCUUCUUGUCUGAAAUUCAGUCUACUCAGCAACACUCUUAGGUCAGGCUCUGGGAGAGCUUCUGUGGGCAUGAAAUGGUGGAGGACCUCACGGUCCCGGACCACUGUGGUAAGAAGGGAGUGAUUCAGUGCAGACCAAGCAGCAUUUCUCACAAAGUUUCUGUGGGCUUGGCUUCUAAACCCCCGAAAGGUCCAAGUCCAGUAGAGCAAGUGAGUAGUUGUCGCUGACAGAGGCCAGGAGGGGAGCACUGUGUGGAGAGAACACUGGCCCAGUGACGCACCAGGACUGCACCACCGAGCUGAGGGCACAGCUUGCACUCAGGUGUCCAUAGGGAGGACAGUCCCAUUCUUAUCACCAAAGACAAAGACUUCAGUCUGCUGAGGAUGCAAGGCCAGGGAGGCAAGACGGUAGCCAGAGGCACCGUGGCCCAUCUGUGAGGCCGGCUUAGGACAGCAGAUAUCCUCCCAUAAGAUUCUGUCGUCCUCGCCUCAUGAAAGAAACACAGGAUCCUUGUGGAGAAAGGCAGCAACACAGGUGGCCUGCCCAGAAUGAGCUUGGUAGGAAUUUCGAACCAUCUGCCGAGCAAGGUCUCAAACCUUGAUCCAGAAGUCUUUGCUACCAGCUCACAGCUUGUGUGCCAGAGCUCGGGACACUGACUGUAGACACAAUGCCAUCGUGCUUAUACUUGCAGAACUUGUUGUCAGUGAGCGUCUCAUUCUCAUCCAGCUCCCACAGUUCAACAGCCACCAGGAUCAGAAGCCACUAGGAUACCUCUGUCUCCUAUCCAAGUGAGGUUAGCCACUCUGGCCUCCGUCUGGACUCCAGCAAAGCAGAAACCUUCCUUGGGGGCGGCACAAAGCGGCCUUGAAAAGCCUGAAGGGGCCAGCCCAGCAGUGGCCACUCAGGUUAGAAGCCUGGAGCAGGAACAUCCCAUCAAACAGGUACAGUGCAGCCUCCAAUACCUGCUCCAUUGGCAGGUGCGUUAGGGGGAAAGUUCCACUUUUGGCCACAGGGUGUGGGCACGAGGAAGGACAGGGUUUCCUUCUGCAUCUCCACGAUUCUAACUCCAGCCUAGACACAAACUAGAUGCCCAUCUGAGAUUCAGCUCAGCAAGUCCCCAUGUGGUUCCUCUCUGGGCCUCUGGUCUUCUAAACAGGCUACAGCCUCUAUAUCUCCUGAAGAAGAAAAUAUUGAAUGUUAAUGGUUGAUCUAUGUAGCAGUCCUUUAAAAUCCUCUCCCCAAAGAAGGACAUUGAGCAAUCAUUUUAAUUCUUUCUAAACAGCAUUAUCCACAAAUCUUCGUGCUAUUAAGCUGUUAUUUCUAGAUCAAAGACCUUUGGUAUUUUCUCUUUGUUUACAGGGUAUACUCCAAACUUUUAAGUUGAAAGUAUGACACCUUGUGGGGCUUCCCUGGUGGCUCAGAUGGUAGAGUCUGCCUGCUAUGUGAGUGACCCAGGUUCAAUCCCUGAGUCGAAAAGAUCCACUGGAGAAGAGAAUGGCUAUCCACUCUAGUAUUCUUGCCUGGAAAAUUCCUUAGACAGAGGAACCUGACAGUCUACUGGCCAUGGGGUCACAAAGAAUCAGACUCAACUGAGCAACUAACACUUUCACUUUUCAUGGAAGCUUGUGGUUCCAGAAGACUUUUCUUGCCUCACCAUUCAUUACUUUAUUACAUUCAAGUUUUGACUUUCAUAAUGAAUAGUUUUUACAACACUGUAUUUUAACUGAACCAUUCUCAUGCUUUGUGUUAUUUGUCUCCUUGCCUUUCCAACUGCUGUUCCUUUCACCUGGCUCUUUAUCUGGUUUUUAACCACACAUGACAUUGCUCUUUCCCUCCUCUUAUUGCCAGGGAUAUUUGGCAGUAUCUGGAGACUUUCUGGUUGGCCCAGUUGGAGGAUGCCACUGGUGUCUAGUGGAUAGAGGCUAGGGAUGCUGCUAAACAUUCUACAAUGCACAAGACAGACACCAUGACAAAGAAUGAUCUGUUCCAAAACAUUCCUAGUGCCAAGGGUGAGAAUCUCAAGAUAGAAAGUCCUGUCCUUUGCUCUUUGUUCAAAUUCUAACUGUUCUUUAUAGCUUCUUUUAAUGAUUACCUCCUCCAUGAAAGCUGGUCUUGGUCUUUCCAUCCACAUAAUCACUCUUUUGACUUUCCACCUUCCCAGGCAAAGUCCUUUUUUUCUAUUUAGUAUUUUAUUUUUUAUUUAUUCAAGGCAAUUUUUAAAGAAGCAGUUUUAGAUCCACAGCAAAAUUGAGAGGAAGGUGUGGGGAUUUCCCAUAUGCUUUCUGCUCUCAUAUGUGCAUAAUUUCUACCAUGUCAACAUCCUUCACCAGAAUGGUACAUUUGUUACAACUACUAAACCUCCAUUGGCACAUCGUAACCAUCCAAAGCCCAUAGUUUACAUUAGGGGUCACUCUUGAUGUUGUGUUAUAUGAGUUUGGAAAAUGCCUAAUGACAUGUAUCCACCAUUAUAUUAUCAUACAAAGUAUUUUCACUGCCCUAAAAAUCUAUCUGCUCCAUCUCUCAGAGUCCCCAUUCCCUGGCAUCCACUGAUCUUUUUACUGCCUCCAGGGUUUUGCGUUUUCCAGAAUGUCAUAUAGUUGGAGUCAUCAACUACAAGUAAGUAGACUUUUCAGAUUGGUUUCUUUUGCCUAUUAAUAUGCAUCUAAAUUUCCUCUACUGUACAAUUGAAUGUUCAAACUACUGUACAGUUGUACUCAUUUCACAUGCUAGCAAGAUUAUUCUCAAAAUCCUUCAAGCUAGGCUUCACCAGCACAUGAACUGAGAAAUUCUGCAUGUACAAGCUGGGUUUUGAAGAGUCAGAGGAACAGAGAUCAGAUUGCCAACAUUCAUUGGAUUAUGGAGAAAGCAAGGGAGUUCCAGAAAAGUAUUUACUUCUGCUUCAUUGACUAUGCUAAAGCCUUUGACUGUGUGGAUCACAACAAACUGUGGAAAAUUCUUUAAGAGAUGGGAGCACCAAACCACCUUACCUGUCUCCUGAGAGAUCUGUAUGUGGGUCAAGAAGCAAUAGAACUGGACAUGGAAAAAUUCACUGGUUCCAAAUUGGGAAAGAAGUACUAUAAGCCUGUACAUUGUUACUUUCUUUAUUUAACUAACAUGCAGAGUACGUCAUGUGAAAUGCUGGGCUGGAUGAAUCACAGGCUAGAAUCAAGAUUGCAGGGAGAAAUAUCAACAGCCUCAGAUAUGCAGAAAAUACCACUCUAAUGACAGAAAGUAAAGAGGAACUAAAGAGCCUCUUGAUGAGAGUGAAAGAGGAGAGUGGAAAAAAAAAAAACAGCUUGAAAUUCAGCAUUAAAAAAACUAAGGUCAUGGCAUCUGGUCCCAUCACUUCAUGGCAAAAAGAAGGGUAAAAAGUGGAAGCAGUGACAGACUUUGCUUUUUGGGGCUCCAGAAUCACUGCAGAUGGUGACUGCAGCCACAAAAUUAAAAGACACUUGCUCCUUGGAAGGAAAGCCAUGACAAACCUAGACACCUUUUUAAAAAGCAGAGACAUCACUUUGCAGACAAAGGUUCAUAUAGUUAAAGCUAUGAUUUUUCCAGUAGUUAUGUAUGGAUAUGAGAGUUGGACCAUAAAGAAGGUUGAGCAUUGAAGAAUUGAUGUCUUUGAAUUGUAGUGCUGGAGAAGACUCUCGAGAGUCCCUUGGACUGCAAGGAGAUCAAAACAGUCAACCCUAAAGGAAAUCAAUCCUGAAUAUUCAUUGGAAGUACGGAUGCUGAAGCUGAAACUCUAAGACUUUGGCCACCUGAUUCAAAGAGCCGACUUGUUGAAAUAAACCCUGAUGCUGGGAAAGACUGAAGGCAAAAAGAGAAGGAAGAGCAGAGGAUGGGAUGGUUAGAUGGCAUCACUGAUUCAAUGGACAUGAAUUUGAGCAAGCUCUGGGAGAUAGUGGAGGACAGAGGAACAUGGCCUUUUGCAGUCCAUGGGAUCACAAACAGUUGCAUGUGACUUAGCGACUGACUGAACAACAACAGCAGAUUUCCUCGAUUUUUUUUUAUGACUUAGUAGCUCACUUCUUUUUUGCACUGAAUAACAUUCCACUGUGCCAGUACUCUUGCCUGGAAAAUCCCAUGGAUAGAGGAGCCUGGUAGGCUGCAGUCCAUGGGGUCGCUGAGGGUAGGACACGACUGAGCGACUUCACUUUCACUUUUCACUUUCAUGCAUUGGAGAAGGAAAUGGCAACCCACUCCAGUGUUCUUGCCUGGAGAAUCCCAGGGACGGGGCGCCUGGUGGGCUGCUGUCUAAGGGGUCGCACAGAGUCAGACACGACUGAAGUGACUUAGCAGGUAGCAGGUGUAGGUAUAGCACAGUUUAUUUAUCCGUUCAUCUACUAUGAGACAUUUUGGUUGCUUCCAAGAUUUUGCAAUUCUUGAUAAACCUGCAGUAAAUAUCCAUGUGCUACAUUUUGUAUGCACAUAAGUUUUCAACUGCUUUCGGUAAAUAACGAGGGAUGCAAUUAGUGGGUCAUUUGGUUGAAAGUGAAAGUGAAGUCGCUCAGUCGUGUCCGACUCUUUGUGAC
ensembl:lncRNA